rnacentral:rRNA from 1 species
UACGAAGGGGGCUAGCGUUGCUCGGAAUUACUGGGCGUAAAGCGCACGUAGGCGGCUUCUUAAGUCGGUGGUGAAAUCCUGGAGCUCAACUCCAGAACUGCCUUCGAUACUGGGAAGCUCGAGUCCGGGAGAGGUGAGUGGAACUGCGAGUGUAGAGGUGAAAUUCGUAGAUAUUCGGCGGAACACCAGUGGCGAAGGCGGCUCACUGGUGCCAUAACUGACGCUGAGGCACGGAAAGCGUGGGGAGCAAACAGGG